UACGGAGGAUGCAAGCGUUAUCCGGAAUGAUGGGGCGUAAAGGGUCCGCAGGUGGCAGUGUAAGUCUGCUGUCAAAGAAUGAGGCUUAACCUUAUCAAGGCAGUGGAAACUACACAGCUAGAGUACGGUCGGGGUAGAAGGAAUUCCUGGUGUAGCGGUGAAAUGCGUAGAGAUCAGGAAGAACACCGGUGGCGAAAGCGUUCUGCUAGACCUGUACUGACACUGAGGGACGAAAGCUAGGGGAGCGAAUGGG
rnacentral:rRNA from 1 species